rnacentral:lncRNA from 10 species
UUUUCAUCUCAUCAUCUCAUUUCAUCAUUUCAUCUCAUUUCUUCUCAUUUCAUCUCAUUUUAUCUCAUUUCAUCUCAUCUCAUUUCAAUUUCAUUUCAUUAUUUCAUUUCACUUCAUUUCAUUUCAUCUCAUCACUUUAUCUCAUCUCAUUUCAUCAAAUCAUUUCUUCUCAUCUCAUCUCAUUUCAUCAUUUCAUCUCGUUUCAUCUCAUUUCAUCUCAUCUCACCUCAUCUCAUCAUUUCAUCUCAUCCUUUCAUUUCAUCUCAUCGUUUCAUCUCACCUCAGCAUUUCAUCAUUUCAUCUCAUCAUUUAUUUCAUCUCAUUUUAUCUCAUUUCAUCUCAUAUCUCAAUUCAAUUUCCUUUCAUUAUUUCAUUUCAUCUCAUUCAUUUCAUCUCAUUUCAUUACAUCUCAUCAUUUCCUCUCAUCAUUACAUCUCAUCUCAUCUCAUCAUUUCAUCUCAUCAUUGCAUCUCAUCAUUAUAUCUCAUCAUUCAUCUCAUUUCAUCUCAUCAUUUCCAUUUCAUUAUUUCAUUUCAUCAUUUAAUUUCAUCAUCUCAUUUAAUUUCACCUCAUUUCAUUAUUUCAUUUCAUUUUUUCAUUUCAUUGUCAUUUCAUUUCAUCUCAUUACAUUUCAUCUAAUUUCAUUUCACCUCAUUUCAUCUCAUCAUUUCAUCUUUUCAUCUCAUUUCAUCUCAUCAUCUCAUCAACUCUUUUCAUCUUAUCUCAUCAUUUCAUUUCAUCUCAUCAUUUCAUCUCAUCUCGUAUCUUAUCUCAUUUCAAUUUCAUUUCAUUAUUUCAUGUCAUCUCAUCUCAUCUCAUCUCAUCAUUUCAUGUCAUCAUUUCAUCUCAUCACAUCUCAUUUCAUCAUUUUAUUUCAUCAUCUCAUCAUUUCAUCUCAUCUCAUUUCGAUUUUAUUUCAAUUUCAUUUCACUAUUUCAUUUCAUCUCAUCAUUUCAUCUCACCAUUUCAUUUCAUCAUCUCAUCUCAUCAUUUCAUUUCAUCAUUCAUCUCAUCAUUUCAUAUCAUCAUUUUAUCUCAUCUAUCAUUUCAUCUCAUUUCAUCUCAUCCCAUUCCAUCAUUACAUCUCAUUUCAUCUCAUUUUAUGUCAUCAUUUCAUGUCAUCAUUUCAUCACAUCUCAUCUCAUCAUUUCAUCAUUUCAUCUCAUUUCAACUCAUUGCAUCUCAGCUCAUCAUUUCCAUUUCAUUAUUCCAUUUCAUCAUUUCAUUCAUUAUGUCAUUUCAUCUCAUCAUAUUUCAUCUCAUCUCAUCAUUUCAUCUCAUUUUAUCUCAUCUCAUCAUUUCAUCAUUUCAUCUCAUCAUUUCUUCUCAU